rnacentral:lncRNA from 10 species
AUUAAUGCUCCUUGAUGGCUUCCGCCUUCACCAUAAACGUGAGGGCCUCCAGCACACAGCCCCGGCCUGGGCAGCAGCCUAGUCAAGUGGAAGGAAUGGGAAUGUGAGAAGUCUUCAGCUCAAAGAAUAGCCCCAUGAGUUAAAUCCUAACACCUGACUCACUUCAAGAUCUUGACCUUGCGUCACCUGAGUUGACCUUUUUAGACCCAGAUCUGUCUUCCAAGGAGCUCUCUUGCUUCUCCGUGCUGUACUCAAGCUGCUGUGAUUAUGUCUACACUGCACUGAACCAACAUCGGAUCAGUCCACCGUCUUGUCUCUGAGACCUGCUUAGGUCUCAGGUUCCUGGCUGCGGGAGAGGAAAGAUUCACAUGGAACACUCACAUACCAGGAACGGUUCUGGCCAUUUUAUUUUGGAAGAUCGGCAAAGGCUGCUCUGAGAAGGUGACAUUUGCACAGACACCUGAAAGAUGUGAAGGAGAAAGCCCUGCCAAGAUCUUAGAUUUUAACAGAAGAGUAAUUCAGGCUCAAAAGGCACAGGGUGAACAGCCUGGCAUUCAGCAGCCCUCCCCGGGAAGUCCUGGCCAGAAAGGGGCAGGCUGGGGAACCGCAUUACCUGGUUUCUGAUGGAGCCACGACAGGAAGUUUAUAUGCCAAGGUGAUCAGAGCAGUGGCUGUGAAAGAUGCCAAGAACAGCAUGGCCCCAAGGAGGAUGAGGAUCUGUGUACUCCUGCAAAGAAGAGAGGAUACGGAGAGGAGUGCCCUUCAGUUUCUUGCCCCACACAUGCGCUUCCUAUGGCACGAAAGGCUGGAAAUCCUGACCAUCAGAGGUGGAAAGAACAUGUUCAUUUAGAACCAGGGCUUGGCUCCAGAUGAUGUUUUGUGGAGAACCCCAGAGUUCCCAUGGAUGAUUGACAUGGUCAAAAUGAGUUCCACAGACAGUCCAUGCUUGUGCCAGAUGAGAUGGUUACCAGUAUUUUUUUCGUCAAUGUGAGGAAGCGCCUGGGGGCAAUUCUCUCCAAAGGGCCCUGGCACCUCUGCUUUCAAGGAUCUAAGGUGGGCUCUACCUCAAAAAGGCCACUGGCUGGUAUCCUUGCCACUGCUUCCUGCAAGUGGCCCAAAUCAGUUUGCAUCAGGGAAAACAGCCCAGAUUAUCCCCUGGGUACCCCAUCACAGACAAGCGGGCCCUACCUGCAGGCAGGUAGCUGGUGAUGCAAGCCUGUCCAUAUGGCUGGGCCUUUGCAAAUGGAAGGCAGCCAUCUAGUUAGUCAGUUGUUACGUGCAAAGAUUAGGGCCCUGCCACGCUUUAGCGAUUCCCUUUUCAGCCUUGAUUUCAAGGCAUAUGUGGAAUUGGUGAUAUAAUUUCAUUACAGCUAUUUCACUUUCACUUGCUUCAAAUGCAUUACGAGGAAACUGGGGCUUUGGAGAAGCCAAGACGCACAUAGAUCUUGUUGCUCCAAAGCAACAAGAUCUUUGAACUUGAGUAGAAUUCCACAUAGUAAGGGUGUGAUGCGAUGUCCCAUUGCAGUAGAGACUCAACAGGCGGAGGUGAAUAAUUUGUCCUUUCCCGGUUGGGCAACAUGGGCUGGCACAAGAACAGUGAUGGGGCAGGGUCAGCUGCCUCCGGGACAUGUGCCAGGAUGACUGGCCCCUUGUUGGCCAAUGCUAUGCUCCCCUCCCUCUGCUGUUCACAGCGGCUGCCCUCUGCAUAGCCUGGUACGGUUACACCAACUGCAUGGCAAGAAGCCAUCCCCCACUCACACAGCCCACCUUCCUACAGCAUCACCAGUACUCCAGAGAAAAUACCAGAAUCAGGUUGGCCCUUGGAAAGUUCACCACACUGCUUGAAGAAAUGAGACUCCAGGUUUGCACCCUUCUGCCUUUUCAAAGCCAGCAACUUGAGACUCACCGCAUUCUUGACCGACACAAAGUUAUUUAGCAACAGCAGAUUCGUCCACCAUGCUUGCCGGCAGUUAUCCCAGUGGAAUUUGGGCAUUUCCCAGACAGGUCCCCAGGGAACAAGAGAGAACAGUCCAACCAACAAGCACAUUGAAUACAGGUGAAGAGGCUGCAACCUGGCAGGAGAGAACCGAGAGAAAGAAGGUGACUUUCCACCGGGGUCCCUCCAGUCAUCUCAGUGGGCACGUGGCGGGUGGGGCAUAAGGUGCUCUAAAACAGAUUGUUUGUACCGUGGGCAGCUGCCACCCAGCCACACCUCAAACGUUCAAGCAUCCACGAGUUCCAGAUCACUUACUGAGCACCUAUCAUGUACUGGCUCAGGUGCUACUGCUGCAAAAAUACUGCUAUUUAUUUCUCUUUUUUUAAGAGACAGGGUCUCACUCACUACGGCCCUGACUUCCACCUCCUGGGCUCAAGCGAUCCUCUCACCUCAACCUCCCAAUUAGCUAGAACUGCAGGCGCAUGCCACCAUGUUCCACUAAAAAUACUGUUAUUUAUUGAGCAAGUCAUAUAGGCCAACCACUGUGGGAGGAGCCUGCUAGAGAUUUCUAAACCUCAAAACAAUCCUGCAAGGUAGCUAUGACCUCCAUUUUAUGAAGAAAUUAUAGCUAAGAGAAGAUAGGGUGACUUGCCCAAGGUCACCAACCACAUAGCAGUACCAAGAUCUGACACUGGUUCAUGUUCUUUCCACAUGGCCUCACACGAUGAAAAACUCUUUCUUCCUUCCCUCCCUCACUUGCUUCAUUUCUCCCUUCCUUCACGCCCUACCUCCUCCAAGCAAGAUCUGAAGCAGCUACAAAGGGGAAGAAUCAGGAGUAAGGUGUCUAGACCAGCGCUGUUCAACAGAAACAGGAUGCAAGCACAGCUGCCCCCAGUUUUACACUUUCCAGCAGCCACAAUUUAAAAGAGAUGAGCAAAUGCAAGCACAGAAAGACUGAGAGAGACACUUAACUCAAGGUCACACCGCUGCUAUGUGAUUGAGCCAGAAUACACGCUCAGCAGUCCAACUACAGAGUCUGCACUUGCCCACUGCAUUUCACUAGUCCCAAAGAUUAUGACAACACUCCUCUUCCUAUUUUGUGACAGUGUGGUAUAACAAGAUGAACGUGAACCAGGAGUCAGGAGUGCUGGCUUCCAGCUCAGCAAAUAACCACGACAUAGAAAAUAUAUCAAUGGCAGGGUUGGAUGACAUGAGCUGAAGUUUCCUUUUCUCCCUUAACUUUGUUGUUUUUUUUGUUUGUUUGUUUUGAGACAGGGUCUCACUCUGUUGCCCACGCUGGAGUGCAGUGGCAGGAUCUUGGCUCACUGCAACCUCCACCUCCGGAGUUCAAGUGAUUCUCCCACCUCAACUUCCCGAGUAGCUGGGAUUACAGUCGUGUGCCACCACGCUCAGCUAAUCAUUUGUAUUUUUGGUAGAGAAAGGGUUUCACCAUGUUAGCCAGGCUGGUCUCAAACUCCUCACCUCAAGUGAUAUGCCCCCCUCAGCCUCCCAAGGGCCUCCCCAAAACGCCUGAGAUUACAGGCAUGAGCCACUGUGCCCAGCCCUUCCUCCCUUAACUUUGGUUGUCUCAUUCUGUCACUGCCACUCUGCUACCACCGAUUCCGUAUUCUGCCCCAGUGUUGGAAUCCCUUCUGCAUCAACCAACCACACAUUCCUAAAGGAGACCGUCAGCUAGGCACGGUGGCUCACGCCUGCAAUCCCAGGACUUUGGGAGGCCGAGACAGGCAGAUCACGAGGUCAGGAGUUCAAGACCAGCCUGGCCAACAUAGUGAAACCCCGUCUCUACUAAAAAUACAAAAAAAAAUCAAAUCAAAUAUUAGCCAGUCAUGGUGGCGGGCGCCUGUAAUCCCACCUACUCAGGAGGCUGAGGCAGGAGAAUUGCUUGAACCCAGCAGGCAGAGGUUGAAGUGAGCAGAGAUGGCGUCACUGCACUCCAGCCUGGGUCACAGUGCGAGACUCUGUCUCAAAAACAAAAAAAAAAAAAAAAAAAAAAGGAGAUCGUCAUUCUUCCUGCCUCCCUCCCAGCAGAAUGGCCAUGGCCCAGAGCUUCAACCAAGUUCCUUUCCUGGUCACGUACUGUUUUAUUUUUAUCAUUACCAUUAGCACUCUGAUUUAUAGGAUCCAAUUACUACUAAUUUGCAGACAAACAAAUUUUCCUGUUGAAUACAGAUUCCAUGGAAAUCUGACAGUGCAUUUAUUGAACUCUGCUGCCCAUCAGCUGAGGACUAAGGAUGUUUUUGCCAGUGGAACAUACCAGUUUUCAUGGUAUUUGUCCCAGUAGAAUUUGAUCCAUAUUAAACCAGCUUAAAUCAACUGUAUUUAGGGAAGAAAACUAUUUCUUUCAGUUUAUUUUUCUUUGGAAAUUCUUUGAAAAGAGGGUUAAAGACAGAAAACUAAUAAAUCGUUACAUAGCAAUGAGGAAUUGAGAAAUUAAGUAAAUAAACCUACUGUCAGGCCUCUGAGCCCAAGCUAAGCCAUCAUAUCCCCUGUGACCUGCACAUAUACAUCCAGAUGGCCUGAAGCAACUGAAGAUCCACAAAAGAAGUGAAAAUAGCCUUAACUGAUGACGUUCCACCAUUGUGAUUUGUUUCUGCCCCACCCUAACUGAUCAAUGUACUUUGUAAUCUCCCCCACCCUUAAGAAGUUUCUUUGUAAUUCUCCCCACCCUUGAGAAUGUACUUUGUGAGAUCCACCCACUGCCCCCCGCAAAACAUUGCUCCUAACUCCACCGCCUAUACCAAAACCUAUAAGAACUAAUGAAAAGCCCACCACCCUUUGCUGACUCUCUUUUCGGACUCAGCCCACCUGCACCCAGGUGAAAUAAACAGCCUUGUUGCUUGCACAAAGCCUGUCUGGUGGUCUCUUCACACGGACACACGUGACACCUACCUUACCAGGUGACUGAGAAAGUAUCUGAGUAUGCCUUUGGGGGUUAUUCCUUUGUCUGAAUUCUGAUGCAUCUUUAAAAACGAACUUGCACUUAACCAACCACUAAAAGAAAAAGAAGAAUUGUCG